UACGGAAGGGGGCAAGCGUUGUUCGGAAUCAUUGGGCGUAAAGGGCGCGUAGGUGGUUCUGUAUGUCUACCGUGAAAGCGUACGGCUCAACCGUAUUUUGUCGGUAGAAACUGCAGGACUUGAGGCUGGGAGGGGCUGGUGGAAUUCCCAGUGUAGAGGUGAAAUUCGUAGAUAUUGGGAAGAACACCAGUGGCGAAGGCGGCUAACUGGUCCAGAUCUGACGCUGAGGUGCGAAAGCGUGGGGGAGCAAACAGG
rnacentral:rRNA from 1 species